ACGGGUGGGUAACGUACCCUGUGCUUUGGGAUAGCGUCAUCCCGACUUCGGUCGGGAUUUCCGAAAGGGGCGGUAAUACCAAAUAAUAUCAUUUGUCUAUAGGCGGAUGAUCAAAGAUUUAUCGGCAAAGGAGCGGCCUAUCUCCUAUCAGCUUGUUGGUGAGGUAAUGGCUCACCAAGGCUAUGACGGGUAGCGGGACUGAGAGGUUGACCCGCAACAUCGGGACUGAGACACUGCCCGGACCUCCACGGAGGGCUGCAGUAACGAAUAUUGCGCAAUGGGCGAAAGCCUGACGCAGCGACGCCGCGUGUAGGAUGAAGUCUCUCGGGAUGUAAACUACUGUCAGGGGUAAGAAAGUGUACUUCGGUACAUUGAUCGAACCCAGAGGAAGUCACGGCUAACUUCGUGCCAGCAGCCGCGGUAAGACGAAGGUGGCUAGCGUUGUUCGGUAUUACUGGGCUUAAAGCGUGUGUAGGCGGAAAGAUUAGCGUCUUGUGAAAGCCCCCGGCUUAACCGGGGAAUUGCUCGGCGAACUGUCUUUCUUGAGGCAAGUAGGGGUGCAUGGAACUCUUGGUGGAGCGGUGGAAUGCGUAGAUAUCAAGAGGAACGCCAGUGGUGAAGACGGUGCACUGGGCUUGUCCUGACGCUGAGACACGAAAGCGUGGGGAGCGAACGGGAUUAGAUACCCCGGUAGUCCACGCUGUAAACGAUGUCUACUA
rnacentral:rRNA from 1 species